rnacentral:rRNA from 1 species
UGGGGAAUAUUGGACAAUGGGCGCAAGCCUGAUCCAGCCAUGCCGCGUGAGUGAUGAAGGCCUUAGGGUUGUAAAGCUCUUUCACCGAUGAAGAUAAUGACGGUAGUCGGAGAAGAAGCCCCGGCUAACUUCGUGCCAGCAGCCGCGGUAAUACGAAGGGGGCUAGCGUUGUUCGGAAUUACUGGGCGUAAAGCGCACGUAGGCGGACAUUUAAGUCAGGGGUGAAAUCCCGAGGCUCAACCUCGGAACUGCCUUUGAUACUGGGUGUCUUGAGUUCGAGAGAGGUGAGUGGAAUUCCGAGUGUAGAGGUGAAAUUCGUAGAUAUUCGGAAGAACACCAGUGGCGAAGGCGGCUCACUGGCUCGAAACUGACGCUGAGGUGCGAAAGCGUGGGGAGCAAACAGG